CCCUUAGACGUUCUGGGCCGCACGCGCGCUACACUGACGAAGGCAACGAGCUUUCCUUUACCGAAAGGUACGGGUAAUCUUUUGAAACUUCGUCGUGCUGGGGAUAGAUCCUUGCAAUUUUUGAUCUUAAACGAGGAAUGCCUAGUAAGCGCAAGUCAUCAACUUGCGUUGAUUACGUCCCUGCCCUUUGUACACACCGCCCGUCGCUACUACCGAUUGAAUGGUUUAGUGAGGCCUUCGGAUCCGCGACUCGUUUGUGGAGAAGUUGGACAAACUCANUNAUUUAGNGGAAGUAAAANUCGUANCA
rnacentral:rRNA from 1 species